rnacentral:lncRNA from 1 species
GUAAGUUGGAGGCUGUCCGACUUGGAGUUUUCUCGUGGGCCCAGUGUCUAACCUGGGACGCCUGACUCCAGGGUUUGGCCACAGGAUGCAGCCGUCAUUGAUGUUACCUAUUCAUUCGUUCGAUAAAUAUUUAUAUGAUCAUCAAAUAAGUGCUAGCCGUUGGGAGGAGGUGCAAAUAUGGGAAUAUAUGGUCUUGAACAGCAGGAAAUGACGAUUCUCUGAUUGGAAAGUCUAGCCACCUGGGACAUGAGAGACGUGAAAAUUCAGACUUAAAGACUGCACAUUUGCCUUUGAUCAUCUUACAGGGAUUGUAACUUCUUUUGCUCCAGAAUUAAAUCCUCAACAGAAGAAGAGUUUCUUUCUUCCUAAGAAUUGUGUCUAGUCCUGAGUCACCUGCUGGAGCCAGAGAUGGAUCACACCAUGUGAACCGCGUGAGCUGAGAAUAGGAAGGAAUGAUUCCCAAGGGGAAAUCGAGAGCUGUUGCCAAAAGAAGGGGAAUGGAUGCUGGUGAGAGGGGCAUAAGCGCACACUGUAUACUACAGCACAUGUGUUGAUACUGAAAAGGUGAUCUGCUGUAACCAUGGGGACUUGGUGUAACCCCUUUUCAUGAUGAUUAUUCUCUCAUGCACCAUAUUUCCUACAACAAAUGGCUGUAUUUUUUUCUUUUAAUUUUGAAAAGAAUAAAAAAGGAAAAUGCAAAGAACAAUACAACCAUCACCCAAGGCCCCUCUACCUAGAAUUCGUAAAUGUUAACAUUUUGCCACUUUUGCCGCAGAUUUACAUAAAUGUUUGUAUGAGAAAAUCUUACAUAUAUGCAAAAUGAAGUUG